rnacentral:rRNA from 1 species
ACGCUGGCGGCGUGCUUAACACAUGCAAGUCGAACGAUGAAGCCUAGCUUGCUAGGUGGAUUAGUGGCGAACGGGUGAGUAAUACGUGAGUAACCUACCUUUAACUCUGGGAUAAGCCUGGGAAACUGGGUCUAAUACCGGAUACGACCAAUCUCCGCAUGGGGUGUUGGUGGAAAGCGUUAUGUAGUGGUUAUAGAUGGGCUCACGGCCUAUCAGCUUGUUGGUGAGGUAACGGCUCACCAAGGCGACGACGGGUAGCCGGCCUGAGAGGGUGACCGGCCACACUGGGACUGAGACACGGCCCAGACUCCUACGGGAGGCAGCAGUGGGGAAUAUUGCACAAUGGGCGCAAGCCUGAUGCAGCGACGCCGCGUGAGGGAUGACGGCCUUCGGGUUGUAAACCUCUGUUAGCAGGGAAGAAGAGAGAUUGACGGUACCUGCAGAGAAAGCGCCGGCUAACUACGUGCCAGCAGCCGCGUAAUACGUAGGGCGCGAGCGUUGUCCGGAAUUAUUGGGCGUAAAGAGCUUGUAGGCGGUUUGUCGCGUCUGCUGUGAAAGGCCGGAGCUUAACUCCGUGUAUUGCAGUGGGUACGGGCAGACUAGAGUGCAGUAGGGGAGACUGGAAUUCCUGGUGUAGCGGUGGAAUGCGCAGAUAUCAGGAGGAACACCGAUGGCGAAGGCAGGUCUCUGGGCUGUAACUGACGCUGAGAAGCGAAAGCAUGGGGAGCGAACAGGAUUAGAUACCCUGGUAGUCCAUGCCGUAAACGUUGGGCACUAGGUGUGGGGGACAUUCCACGUUUUCCGCGCCGUAGCUAACGCAUUAAGUGCCCCGCCUGGGGAGUACGGCCGCAAGGCUAAAACUCAAAGAAAUUGACGGGGGCCCGCACAAGCGGCGGAGCAUGCGGA